CAUCACCUGUAAUACAGAGAGGGAGAUCUGUGUGUGACAAUGGGAGCUAUUGUAGCAUUAGCUGUGUUGCUGGGAGCUUUAUCAUACGUUCGCUGUGUUGAACUCACACAGCCAGGCUCUAUGGUUGUAAAACCAGGAGAGACUUUAUCUGUCCUCUGUAAAGUCUCAUAUUCAGUUAGCAGUUAUAACACAGCCUGGAUCCGGCAGCCUGCAGGGAAAGCACUGGAGUGGAUUGGAAUUAUGUGGUCAGGUGGAAGCACUGAUUAUAAAGAUUCACUAAAGAGCAAGUUCACCAUCACCAGAGACACCUCCAGUAACACAGUGUUUUUAGGAGGGAGCAGCCUGCAGACUGGAGACACAGCUGUGUAUUACUGUGCCCGAUACCCACAGUGCAGCAAAGCCACAGCAGACCUGUACAAAACCCCACCCUGAUGAGUGU